GAAAGUGCCCAGACCCCUUCUGAAACUUUCCAGGAAAGAGUUGCUGAGCACAGAUGAGGCUCACCCAGGUAGAGCCAGGUCUAACUGCCCAGUCAAGGCACCCAGUGCCUCCCACACUCACCCCCAGGGUUGCCUGUUGACCUGCAGUACCUGCCGCCAGAGAAGCAGCGUGAACCUGAUGCUGACAUCCGCAAGAUGCUCAUUGAAGCCAUCAUGCUGGUGAGCAGGGGUGUGCUAUGUUAAUGCCACCGUUCUACACACACAUAGGAGCACACUGACAUAUGAGUAACCUCUUCAAUAUCCCCAGCUGACAGCCACUGCACCUGGGCGGCAGCAGGUGCGGGACCAGGGAACCUACCUGAUCCUUCGAGAGCUGCAUAGCUGGGAACCAGAGCCUGAUGUGCGGUUGGCUUGUGAAAAGCUCAUCCAGGUGGGUGCAAGGUUGGAAAGGCUGAGGAAUGGGAGCCCACAGCUGUCCAGCUGUUCUACUCACCUGCCUCUUCUCCUGGCAGGUGCUAAUUGGAGAUGAGCCAGAAUGUGGCAUGGAAAACCUGCUGGAGGUGCAGGUGCCUGAGGAUGUGGAACGACAGCUGCAGCAGCUGGACCGGGAGCAGCAGCAGCUGGCCCAAGAGUCAAGGGUGGAAGGGACUGCACCUACCUGAGGUCCCUUCAGCAUGGGAGUCCAGAGCCACCUUUGCCAGACCUGCUAGACCAGACCUGCCUACAGACCUUCAAAUCCCCUGUGCCCGCUGAGAAGCAGAGCUAUACUUAGGCUAGAGUGAAUGCUCAGUAAAUGUUGGAGGGUUGAGGACACUUCCCAACCCUAUGUCUCCUGUUGAUACCAAUAAGAAUAAAGGUUGAGCCAAAGCCCACCAGGCCCUGUGCCACAGCUGCCUUCACAUGAGGCAGAUAGGUGGGCCAGUGGAGCCAUGAG
rnacentral:lncRNA from 1 species